rnacentral:lncRNA from 1 species
GGUAAUCAGGCGCCCACCUGUAGAACAAGGGAAUGUUCUUCAAGUUUCAAGUUUUGGUAAUCAGGCGCCUACCUGGAGAACAAGGGAAUAUUUUUUAAGUUGCAAGUUUUGGUAAUCAGGCGCCCACCUGUAGAACAAGGGAAUGUUCUUCAAAUUUCAAGUUUUGGUAAUCAGGCGCCUACCUGGAGAACAAGUGAAUAUUUUUUAAGUUGCAAGUAUUGGUAAUCAGGCGUCCACCUGUAGAACAAGGGAAUAUUCUUCAAGUUUUAAGUUUUGGUAAUCAUGCGUCCACCAGUAGAACAAGGGAAUAUUAUCAAGAUGCAAGUUUUGGUAAUCAAGCGCCCACCUGUAGAACAAGGGAAUAUUUUUCAAGUUGCAAGUUUUGGUAAUCAGGUGCAUAAGAGAAUACUUUUCAAGUUGCAAGUUUUUGUAAUCAAGCGCCCACCUGGAGAACAAGGGAAUACUUUUUCAAGUUUCGAGUUUUUGUAAUCAAGUGCCCACCUGGAGAAUAAGGGAAUAUUUUGCAAGUUUCAAGUUUUGGUAAUCAGGUGCCCACCUGCAGAACAAGGGAAUAUAUUACAAGUCCAACAAUUCGGCAUCAAACAUAGAAGAAGAGAAAAGGAGAAGUUCUAGUGGAAGAAAUAUAAGUUGACAAGGCAACAAGGAGUUUACUGGAAGAAAUACUAGUCAACAAGGCAACAAGAAGUUCUACAGGAAGAAAUACAAGUUAAUAGGAAGAAUUACAAGGCAACAAAGCAACAAAGAUCAAGAGCAAGAUUGAAGACGUAUAUAGGUUCUUUUGUAACUCAUAGUUCAUAGCUUAGUCUAGCUUCUUUUUAUUUUCACAAGGUGUAAUAAGGAGGUCUAGCAAGCAGUAGCAGCAGCAGCAAUAGUGAGUUCACAGCUUCGGUAGUCCCAGCUACCAAACACUCCUAAGCUACACUGACAUGAUUCUUCUUUAGCCGAGGAUAUGUAGGCAACCUCUGAAGCACGGUGCGGUCAAGCUUUUCGAAACGCUUCUCAUGGAGUGUCAGGUAGGCAAAAAUCUCUCAUGGUCGCUCACUUAUAUUUGCCCGAAAACCCUUCGUGCCUCAAAGAAAAGAGAGGUAGUUGUGAGCACGUGAUGUUUGCCCUGUGUGAAUUACUCUCACAAUUUCAAACAAAAUAAUUUCUCUUCAUUAUAUUUAAUUUUGUGUGGUAUUUUCUGUUAAUUUUUUGUGCAUUUUCAAUUAAUAUAAAAAUAUAAAAAAUAAAUGCAUUGCAUUUUAGGGUUUAAUUUUGCAAAAUACAAAAUCACAGAAAUGGUUUACUUUUGUUUUCAUUUUAAAUUUGGAAUUUUCUUAGUGUUCCCUUUAAAUUUGGUUUCUUAAUUAUUUGUUAUAAUUGUUAGUUAUAUUUAAUAAAUUCAAUGUGGUAGGAUAAUUUGAUAUAUGAAUUAGUUUAGGUCUUUAUUUUUGGUUUUAAUUUAAAAGAAAUUAAUAGAAGAAAAAGGGGAAAGAAAAGGAGUUGAAUUAGAAAUAAGGGCAAAUAAAGAGAAGAAGAAAUAACAGGGCCAGUCCAUUUAGUGCCCAAGUUGUUUGCCACAAAAUUUAGCCCAAACACCCCCCAGACCCGGUCUUGCCCCUUCCCCCUUAAAACGAUGUCGUUUAUUAAGAAGAAAUCCUAGCCGUCGAGGUAACUCGAUCUAACGGCUGGAAAGUAUGGGUUUAGUUAAUAUAUAAUUGUCCAAACCAUACCACCCCCCAAGACCAUCCCCCUCACACGCCCCUAACCCCUUAAGAGAUCUUCCGUCCCCCGCCAUCCACCGUCGCCAGAAAACGCCUCACAGCGGCGGCCGGCCAUCAAAUACCACCAAAUUUACACCAUAAGAUCCUCUCACCCUCCCCAUGUCAAUCCCACAAUCUAUUCCCCUCAAAUCUCAGUCAAUCCUCUUGAAUAGUCAAAACCCUAAUCGCCGCCUUCACCGUCGAUGGCAGCACCACCCCCAAAUUGUACCAGAAUCACACCACGGACCCUCUUUACCCUCCUAUUCUCGAAACCCUAGCUGGAUUCUUUCAAAAAAUGUUAGAGCUGCUCGAAUUUUAAAUCAAAUAGGCGGUUGAACCCUAGAAGUUCAAAUCACCCGAUUUCUGUCCAAGCUCCUGAGUAUGGUCUUGGAUUUGAGCCUCGAAACAAUGCUUUCAUUGUUCUUUGUGAAGAACAAGUGGUUAACAUGGUCUUGAGUCCGCAUCGCCUAUGACUCGAUCUCGCACUAUGGUCUUGGUUUCUAGAAACCUACAUUCAUUCCACAUUUGGCGAAUUUUUCGUUCAGGAAGCGUAGCUUUUGGUCCCAACUUAAUGGCAUGCUUGUUUAGAUCUUCGUCAUUGUGGACGGUUUGGAAUCUUCCUAGUUGACGCAGCACACUGUAGGGAGCAUACAGUUUGAUGCUCCAAAAGCCCAUUAAGAGAUGUAAGAUGCUUUAGCUGUUGUUUGCUUCAGUGGCAGUGAGCCAUCCAAAUGCCCAUUCAAUUUUAUCAGCAGCCAGGGCCCUCAAAUGUGCAAGCCAAGCUUCCGUACUUGUAGGGAAUUCAAUGCUCGCUACCCGAUUUCCAAAUUCUUCAAUGCAGUUUAGACCGGUCAAGACAUAAUUCAUGUAUCCAACUCGGUGACAGAGAUGUUCUUGCAUCCAUAACUGGAGUAAAAAAUUGCAAGCUUGGAAAAACUUUCCUCCUUCCCGACAAAUGGUCAGGGAUCGAUAUAUUUCCAACACAAUUAAAGGAACCACAUUGUUGUUAGUUUUUUUGAUUACCACGUCGAUUAAUCCCACCAGACCUAUCUCUAUAUUAUCAACCUUCCAUGGGCAGAUGACAACAGCCAUAAAGACUACCAAGAAAGCUAGACUUUGCAUUGCCUCCCACUUAUCUUUGUUUCUAGCAUGGGUUAGACUAGUGUUCGGUUCUUCAAAAGCUCGAGAGUUACCAUAUCGAAGAUACAGAACUGGAGUGCGCACUACCCUUCGGCUAGAUUUCUAUAUUGGACAUCCCGACUAAUGCUUUGCAAAUCUAGGAAUCUGUGAGGGGACAUCGAUCUUAGUGACAGAGAUAUCAACAUCUGAGAUUUCCAUUUGGUACACAUUGCAUGUUGGGUUCCAAAAUAGUAUUAAGGAUUCAAUUAUGUCUGACCUUGGCUUGAUGUUUAAUGAUCCGAUAAGGCCUCCCAAAACUCUUGUCACUGUUUUCCUGCUGCCUUUUCCUAGAUCAUCCCACCACAUGUGGAGCUUCAAGGGGAUCUCAUUAAGGAGUGGUAAGGGUUUAAUUUCAUUCGUGCUCAUCCUGCACAUUUAUGUAGGUGAUUUAAUGACUUAUUCUAAAGGAGAGACAACAAUGCUUUUUUUUUUUGAAAAUUUUAUGUUUAAAAGACAAAAAUCUUGGCUUUGCAGAUACGGCCUUUUAGCACUUUGGGAGAGAAGAUUUUGAGGCUAUGCCCGCCAACCGUUGGAAAUAAAUCAAGGUGGUUGUUCUUGCAAAAACAGCCUUUUGGCGCCCUCUUGGGGACAUUCGGCAUAUUUUAAACAAGAAUGGUAUCACCCUACUCAUUUGUAACUAAAAUCAAAAUUAUUAGUUUUGGUUAGUUUUGCAAAAGGAAAGUUGGACCCCAUGAGGGUUGCCUACAUAUCUCACGUCCGGUGAGAAUCAAACUUGUGUAGUUCGGGCAAAUUUGUCAAAACCAAAACUUUAAAACAAACUCUUUCUUUUAUAUUUUUUCAUGAAUCCGGUAGAGUUUUGGAACUAUUUUGAGUAUUGAUUAUUCAAAACAGGUGAUUACCCUUAUCCAUUGCUAUUUCCUUUCAACUCUUUCCCUAGCCGAUCAACAUUCAGAUCUGAAGCAAAUAGAUGUACACGUAGCAAGUAUGAUGCAUCAGGAUGGUCUAUUUCAUUUCAUGUAACCUGUCCUAGACGGACCUAACCCCUGUGUUGAGUCCCCUAAGUCAAAUGCAGGUGAUGCAAACAAACGUUCCUAGUAGGGAUUUGGCAUAAGGUUUUGUUAUACUAGGUUUAAAAACCUGGAUUUAUUGUUCUAGACCUUGCUUACCCGAGCAGGAAACUCGAGCCGGGAGGAGGGGAGGGCAGCGUAGCAGGAAUACGGAAGCUCCGUUGGCUUAGCAGCUUGUCUGAACCUCGUUCUAAAUUCGGAUAAGACUCUAAACAGAAGAUAAGUCACAAAAAGUGCACCCUUUUCCAUGAUAAAUACUCAGAGAGAGAAAUGGUUCGCAGCAGUUUAUAUAUACAUUCCACCAAAUAUCAAAGUGGUAAAGCAUUUAGCACAUUAGGCAUGAAACAUGUAGGAAAAUUAGAUAAAGCCAAAUAAAAUAGCUAUUCUAAGCUCGAAUUCUUGAACCCUGCACCAAAGUUUUGGGUUCUUUUAUCCCCAGCAAAGUUGCCUGAGCUGUGACACCUCCAUUUUUACACACCUACCCCGAAGGAUAGUGUAUAAGGGAGUUUUUCCAAUUUAAGUGACAUUAUUAGAAAUGGGAUUAUUUAUUUAAUUUUUUAUUCGGAGUCUCCACUUAGGAUAGGUUUGGCUUUUUGUGUACCAAGUCACAAGUUUAAUUUGAAUCCCGAAUUGAGGAAAUGUUUUACUUUCCAAAUGAAGUCUACGAACCAGAAAUUCUUGAGCAAGGAAUUAUGUUAACCCGAGGGAAGGUUAGGCACCCUCGGAUUCUGUGGUUCUAGCACGGUUGAUUAAACUAUCAUAAUUGGCUAAUUAUCUGAUUUUAAAACAUAUUCAUCUUAUAGUGCAAUUUAAUAUUAUUUACCGCUUUUAAUUAAUUUUUAAGGAAUGUUGAACAUCGUUUAAAUCGUGCCUUUGGAUCGUGCCACAUAAAAUGCACCCAGAUCCAUAGCACAUUUAUUCAACGUUUUGGAAUUUGGAUUUGGAUCACAUGAAAUGGACACCCGAGUUUAGGAAGCUAAAUUUAUUAAAUAUGACACGCCUAAAGCAACUAAUGUGUUGUUAACUUUGUGAUGGCCAUGAAAAUUUUCUAAUUGACACACCUCGAGUUCUAAGUAUUUUUUAGAGAAAUAAUAAAUGAGGGCCUGCAUUUGUGAUUUUGUUUGGCGCGGCGCACCUCAAUUACAUUUUUUAUAGGAUGUCCUAAAGCUCGGGGUCUCAUAAACAACUAUUGUCUAUUAUGAUUCGUCUCUAUUCGAAAAAAAUGGACCUAAUUAAUUAACAUUAGUUAAAGGUUCCCUAUGAUCUUUUAGCUAACAAUCAAAAGCCCCGAAUGGUCUCCUUAUGUGGAGUCCAAAAUCAGGUAAGCAGCGGUACAACUGCACCUUACAUGAAUCGAAAUUGUGGCCCAAAUAAUAUUCACUAAGAUUUUCAGACGUGGGCCCAGAAGUGAGCCCGAAUUUGCAACCUCAAAUGCGUCUGGACUCAACAUUGAGUCCUUACAGGCCCUAAUUCAACUAAAUUCAUUAAGUCCAAUCACUAGGGGGGUCAGUUUAUGUGCAGAUCGUCACUAGACUUUCUACUUAACACUAACCAAUUACAUAGCAUUUUGACAAAUGAAAUCAUUACGGAUUAAAACAAAGCAAAAGAAGUCUAAGUUUGACAAUUAUAAAACAAGUUCUAAUUUCGAAAUCUCAAAACUAGCUUGAAAUACAAACUUGAGAACUUAAGUCUCAAAUAAAUCUCAUGUAAAUGAAAGUAAUAGCUUAUUCUUUUUCUUCAAAAGCUAACCCAGACAUAAAAUCUACGUUGCAAACGCUAAUUGAUUGUAAACAAAGUCUCAACAAAACACAAGGUCCAUAACUGACUAAUUCGAAACUUGCAAUUACUACUUCAUGAUUAAAACCCUUUAACUGAAACGAUAAAAAAACCUAUCACAUCAACAUAUUCAGCAGUCCAUAAAAGGUCUAAGCUAUUGUAAUUAAAUAGAUUCUAACCAAUCAGACAUACGAAUGAACAAAUAGAUUCCAUAGUUUAUCAAUACAGAUUCAAAAUAACACAUCUAGUUCUUUACUCACCCUAAAUUCAAUGGAAAAGAUCCUAACUAACAUCUAUUGCUUUAAAUCAAACUAAGAAUGGGAAACAAUAACAGAGAGAAAGGAAGUUCAUGCUUCAAACAACAUUUUCAUUUAAUAGAAUUUAAAGUCUACUACAUGUUCAGCAAUCAGCCCUAUAUCAGGAGUUAAGAAUGUAGCUGGAGUUUGAAAGAAAACAAGAAUAUUUGAUCAGCACAUAUACAGCAGGAAUCAGCAACAAUCAGCUAACCAAUACACAACUCCAAACCAGGAAUGAUGCAAUAAACCCCAAGUUAAAAAUGAAGAACAACCAAAUAGACCAACCAACUUUAAACUUAAGCUCUUGACGAACAAAUUCAAGCCAUUUCCCACUCGCAUGAAGUUAAACAAUUUCAGAAGUUGAAAAAGGAUAAAAUCAAUGAAAAACUUAGUGGAACAGUAGCUUUUCUUUUAUUUUCGCUAGAUUUCUAACUCUUAGGUCUCUCAAUUUUUGUAGGAUUGUUUUGCUCUUGAAUUCUCUGUAUUUUCAGCUUUUUAUCUCUAGGUUCUAUAUUUGUACUAUAUGUUUUCAGCUAUUUUUUUUAAUAGCAAGGAAAGGAUACCUUUAUAGGCAAGAAAGUAGGGCAAACAUAAGGUUAUAUUUUACCCCUUAGGUCCAUGAAUUUAUGACUUAUUUUCCAAGUUAAAAUUUGCAAUGUGAUUACAAGUCCUUGCUAGAAGCUUCUAAGGGCUUCCUAUUUUGAUACAGCAAGAUUCUCUAAAGCUAUUCUCCAAUUUACCUUUUAAGGUUCUACUAAUUAGCCUGAAAAAUCAAUUAAAACCUGGGGUCCAAUUGACCCAAGCUGAGGGGUCCAAUAAGCCCAAUUUAAUUCCCUCCUAGAGUGUUCAAUCUCUAUGAACCUAAACAAAACUUAACAUGAAUCACCAAUUUGAAAAUUAUCUAAAAAUAUCCCAAAGGAUGAAAUUCGGCGGAUUUAAUUCAAAACUAGAGAAAUAAGAAACUCUACUACUCAACAAUGAGAUAACAAACCAAUAAAAGCAUCGUGCGUGAAUAAAGUGACCCCUAAAUAAACAAUCAAAAGAAACAAAAAAAGAGGAAGAAACAGAGGACGGGUGGGACCAAGAAAUUACACUAAAGAUAACAAGACAAAGAAAUACCUAAUGAAAUUCUCGGGUAAUGAACUAGUGGGCACCUUCGAUUUGCCAUGUUUUGAUUCAAUUUGAGGUUAAUCAUGUGCUUCUCACCAAAAACACGUAAAUAACCUCAGAACGAGCCCAAAACCUCAACGAACACUCUAAUAGGAAAUUUCGGAUUUUAGGGUUGGAUUAAAUUUAAUAUUUGAGAACUUUUGCUAAGAUUUAAUAGAUAAGGGGUGUGGACUCGUCAUGUGGAGGUCAGGAGAACCUAUGGUGUAAAUUUGGUGGGGAUUGGGUGAUGGUGCUGACGUGCACGACGGCGGAGUCAAAUUUCUGGCCGAUAUUCGAAGGGUUCAGCUUGGUUUCGAGGGUAGAUUAUUGGAGAUUUGGAAAAGGAGGUUGAGGUUGUAAGGUGAUCUUGUUUUGGUGGCUAUUGGACUAUCACCACCGGCGGAGGCAAUUUUUGGCUGGCGGCGUGCAGUGGUUGGCGACGGCGUUAGGUUUUCCAAUGGGGGGAGGGGGGUCAUGAGAGAUGAGAGGGUAGGGGUCUAAGAGGGCUAAGGGUUGUUUUUACAUACUUAUACUAACAAAUGGGGGCUUCAGGACCGUUGGAUUAGAUAACCUCGACGGUACUGAUUGAUUUAGGCCCAAACAGUGUCAUUUCACUUGGACAGAGGUGGAUCCGGUAUUUUAAUGGACUGAACUGGGUAAAAGGGGUAAUUUGAAGUGGUUUUGGUAAUUUGGGCCAAAAUUUCAAUUAAACUUGACCCAAAUUGUGUCUUCUUAUUUUCAGACUUCUCUUUUUCAUUCCUUUUCAUUUUGUUUUCAUUUUUUUAUUUUCACAAAUUAUUAAAAAUCCUAGAUUAAUCACAAAAUUCCCAUUUUACCUAUAAAAUUUAAACCAGCCCUAUAUAAUUAUUAAAAAAAUAAAAUUAAAGGAAAAGCUACCUUAAAAAAUUCAAAAAAAAAAUUAUGAGAGCAAAUUGAACUUAUUUUUGAUUUUUCCUUUUAUAAAAGGCUUAAUUGCUAAUUAAUGCUUGAAAAAUAAUAAAAUAAACUUUAAAUAUGUAUGAAACAUAUUUUUUUAUUUUUUAAGAAUUAUCUAAAUCAAAAAAUGCAAACAAAAAUACAAACCAACACGAAAAUUACGCAAUUAAUCCUCAAUAUCAAAUAAUUAAACGGAAAAAUCCUAAAUCUAAGAAUACUAUAAGAGUAAUUCAAGCGAGGAAAAAAUCACGUGUUCAUACCAGGGCCAGUCUCACUUUUCUCAGCCACAACACUCAGGUGGCUGCUAUGAGUGUGGUGAGUAUGGCCAUAUUCGGAGAGCUUGUUCGAGAUUGGUGGGUACUUAGUCACAGCAACAAGGUUCCUGUGCUAUGGUUCAGGAACCAGGUGUUCCACCGCCCGCUCCACCAGCUAAGGGUAGGGGUGGAGGUUCUAAUGGUGGAGGUAGAGGUGUUAGAGAUGGAGCUCAGGGUACUAGAGGUGGAGGCCAACCAACUGCAGGACGUCCUGUAGAUGUAGUCUAGGGUGGUGGGGCCUAGCCCCAAUGUUAUGCUCUCCUAGCCAGGCUUGAGACUGAGGCUUCUGAUGCAGUUAUCACAGGUAUUAUUUUGGUUUGUGGUACAGAUGUUUCAGUUUUAUUUGAUCCAGGGUCUACCUACUCUUAUGUGUCAUCUUACUUUGCACCGUAUCUGGUCAUGCCUAGUGAUUCCUUGAGUGCCCCUGCAUAUGUGUCUACCAUGUGGGUGAUUCUAUUAUGGUAGAUCGAGUCUAUUGCUCUUGUAUAGUUGUGAUUGGGGGUCUUGAGACUCGUGUAGAUUUGUUGCUUCUGGACAGGGUUGAUUUCAAUGUUAUAUUGGGGAUGGAUAGGUUAUCACCUUACCACGCUAUCUUGGACUGUCAUGCCAAGACUGUGACCAUAGCCUUGCUGGGUUUACCUUAUUUAGAGUGGAGAGGGGCUCCUAGUCAUUCUACCCAUAAUGUUAUCUCUUACGUGAAGGCUCGGCAUAUGGUCGAGAAGGGGUCUUUGGCCUAUUUGGCAUAUGUUUGCGAUUCUAGUGUUGAGGUCCCUUCUAUUAAUUCUGUGCCCGUUUUUUGGGAGUUUCCUGAGGUAUUUUCUUCAGAUCUGUGGGUAUGCUACCCGACAGAGAUAUUGAUUUCUGCAUUGAUUUGGCACUAGGCACUCAGCCCAUUUCUAUCUCAUUGUAUCGUAUGGCCCCGCCUGAGUUGAAAGAGUUGAGGGAGCAGUUGCAAGACUUGCUUCAGAAGGGUUUCAUUAGACCUAAUGUUUUCCUUGGGGGUAUGCCGGAGUUGUUUAUUAAGAAGAAGGAUGGAUCGAUGAGAAUAUGUAUUGAUUACCGGUAAUUAAACAAGGUUACGAUCAAGAAUAAGUAUCUGCUACCGAGGAUUGAUGAUUUUUUUGAUCAGCUUCAGGAUGCCUAGGUACUUUCAAAGAUUGACUUAAGAUCUGGCUACCAUCAGUUGAGGAUUAGGGCAUCUGAUGUCCCUAAGACAGCUUUUCGCACUCAGUACGAUCGCUAUGAGUUUUUGGUUAUGUAAUUCGGGUUGGUAAAUGCCUAGCAACUUUUAUGGAUUUGAUGAACCGAAAAUUCAGGCCUUAUUUUGAUUCGUUCGUGAUAGUCUUCAUUGAUGAUAUAUUGAUAUAUUCUCACAGCUAGGAGGAGCAGGAGCAGCGCCUUAGAGUGGUUCUUCAGACUCUAAGGGAUAGCCAGUUAUAUGCAAAGUUCUCGAAGUGUGAGUUUUGGCUGAGUUUGUUUACAUUUCUGUGUCGUGUUGUUUCAAUAGAGGGUAUUCAGGUGGAUUCAAAGAUGAUUGAAGCAGCCAAGAACUGGCCUAUACCAGCAUUAGCUGCAGAGAUUCGGAGUUUCUUGGGAUUGGCAAGCCACAAAGAUUGACUUAAGAUCUGGCUACCAUCAGUUGAGGAUUAGGGCAUCUGAUGUCCCUAAGACAGCUUUUCGCACUCGGUGUGGUCAAUAUGAGUUCUUGGCGAUGUCAUUCGAAUUGACAAAUGGCCCAAUAGCUUUUAUGGUUUUUAUGAAUGGAGUGUUCAUUCCUUACUCGGAUUCAUUUGUGAUAGUCUUCAUUGAUGAUAUUUUGAUAUAUUCCCACAGCCGGGAGGAGCAUGAGAAACAUCUUCAAGUGGUUCUUCAGACUCUGAAGGAUAGUCAGUUGUAUGCUAAUUUUUUGAAGUUUGAGUUUUGGUUGAGUUCAAUUGCAGUCUUGGGUAAUGUUGUAUCAGCAGAUGGUAUUCAAGUUGAUCCGAAGAAAAUUAAGGCAAUCAAGAAUUUCCCUAGACCAACAUCAGCUACAGAGAUUUGGAGUUUCUUGGGGUUGGCAGGCUACUAUCAUCAGUUUGUGAAAGGGAUUUAAUCUAUCGCAGCCCCGAUGACCAAGUUGAUCCAGAAGGGUGCCUAGUUCACGUGGUCAGACGAGUUGAGGCGAGCUUUUUGAAGCUUAGGAAAUCUUUGACUGCGGCACUGGUAUUGGUUUUGCCUACAGGUUCAAGGCCAUAUACAGUUUAUUGUGAUGCAUCUCAUAUAGGGCUUAGUACAGUGUUGAUGCAGGAUGGCAAGGUCAUUGUUUAUGCUUUGCGGCAGGUGAAGAUUCAUGAGAAAAACUAUCCGAUCCAUUAUUUGGAGUUAGCAUCUAUUGUUCACGCGUUGAAUAUUUGAGGCAUUAUAUAUAUACCAUGGUAUGUGAGGUGUUCACGGAUCACAAGAGUUUAUAGUAUUUGUUCAAGCAGAAAGAGUUGAAUUUGAGGUAAAGAAGGUGGUUGGAGUUAUUAAAGGACUAUGAUAUCACCAUCUUAUAUAAUCUGAGAAAGGCCAAUAUGGUGGCUGAUGCUUUAAGUCAGAAGUCAGCCAGUAUGGUCAGCAUCACUUAUAUUUCGAUUGGUGAGAGACCCCUUGCUUUGGAUGUUCAGGAUUUGGCCAAUUAGUUCGUGAGGCUGGAUGUUUUUGAGCCCAUACGUGUAUUAGCUUGUACGGUCGCUCGUUCCUCUUUAUUGGAACGUAUCUGUGAUCAGCAAUAUGAUGAUCCCCAUAUGUGUGUCCUUAGAGACACAGUGCAGCACGGAGGUGCCAAGUAAGUUACCUUAGGUGAUGAUGUAGUUUUGAGAUUGUAGGGUCGAGUUUGUUUGCCUAAUGUGGAUGGACUUCAAGAGUUGAUUUUAGAGAAGGCAUAUAGCUCCCGAUACUCUAUUCACCCAGGCACCGCAAAGAUGUAUUAGGAUUUGCCGCAACAUUAUUGGCGGCAGAGAAUGAAGAAGGAUAUUGUUGCAUAUGUUGCUUGGUGUUUUAAUUGUCAGCAUGUUAAGUAUGAGCAUCAAAGGCUAGGUUGUUUGUUUUAGAAGACUGAGAUUCCUGAGUGGAAGUGGGAGCGGAUAACUAUGGACUUCGUUGUUAGACUCCCAUGGACUCAGAGGAAGUUCGAUGCAGUGUGUGUUAUUGUUAAUAGGCUGACCAAGUCAGAACAUUUAAUUCAUGUGGCAGUUUCCUAUUCUUAUGAGAUGUUAGCUGAGAUUUAUAUCCGGGAGAUUGUUCAUCUUAAUAGUGUGCCCAUGUCUAUUAUUUCAGAUAGAGGUAUGUAAUUUACCUAACAUUUCUUGAGAGCAGUUCAGCGAGAGUUGGGCACAUGGGUUGAGUUGAGCACAUCAUUUCAUUCUCAGACGGACAGGCAGUUAGAGAAGACUAUUCAAAUUUUGGAGGAUAUGUGACACACCUCCUUUUUGCUUACACCCCGCAAAAGGAUGUAUAAGGGAAUUCUUCCAAUUAAAGGACAAUCGAAACGGGAUUUAUUUAUUUAAAGAUUCAAAGUCGCCACUUGAAAUAAUUUAUGGGCCCAAGUUACCGGUUCAAAUCCCGAAUCGAGGAAAACAUUGACUAUGUUUUACAGUUCGCGAACCAGAAAUUCGAGUAAGAAAUUCUGCUAACCCAGGAGAAGGUGUGAGACAUUCCCGUGUUCCAUGGUUCUAGCACGGUCGCUCAAUUGUCAAAGUUAGCUCAAUUAUUUAAUUUAAAAUAUGUCUUGAACCGCGUCACAUAAAUACACCCGCAGUCCUCAACACAUUUUAAUAACAUUGAGAUUUGGAUUUGGGUCACAUAAAUGCGCCCCGAGCUUAGAAGGUAAAUUAUUAAAUAACGCACCUAAAGCAACUACGUGUUCAUGAAUAAUAAAAAAAUUAUUUACGGACUAAUAAAAGAAUUCAACUAUAUGAUACUAACGGGCCAAGCAUGCUCCUUGCGACAAAAUAAAAUAAAAUAGUGAACAUGUAAAACUCAAGCCUCAGUUGCGUUUCACUUAAAUUCCCAGAACUACGUCCCCAAUCAAAAUCAUGUUUUUCUUCAGUAUCUUCACACCAAUUGAUAAAUGGACAUGCUGAUAAAUGGGGAAAUUUAGAGCAAUUAAGGUGAAUUGAAAAAAUGACGUAAACAAACCAAAAAUCUAGCCUUUGACAUAUAGUGAACUAACUAAAGCUUUACUAUGACAUCAAACCUCAAACAAGAUAUGUAUUCCACCAGUAAAAUUCUAGUUCUCAUGAUUCUUCUGAGAUAAAACAAUAGCACACCACAACACCCUUGAUUUAUAAUAUAAACUAAGCAAACUACAAUAAGGGAGAAAACCAAUAGUAAACAAACUAAUUAAACCAAGAAGCCAUGUCUAUUGUUGUAGUUUUAGUCCAAGCAAUUUAAUUUAAAAUACAUCUUACACAAGAAAUAUAUAUAACAUAGAAUCACAGUAAAAUAAUAUAAAACAUCAGCUCAAAAUAUUAGAUUACCGUAAUAAGAGAGAUGUCAAUAAACGGACCUUUAUAUUGAUAAAAAUUCCUCAAAAUGGGACUAAAUGGAACGUUGACCGGGAACCCCUGUCGGAAACCAAACGAGACCGAAAACUCGAGCUAUAAAGGAAAUCGCGCUUAUCACACUACCUAUACUCGUUUUCUUGAAGUCCAACAGAAAUUGAAAUUGAUAAAACACCAUAAUACCAUGACUUUUACUGUUGGGGAUCUUUUAAUGAAGAAGCUUUGAUGGAAGUUUGAGACGCCAUUAAAUUUGGACAAAGCAAAUACAAAGGCCCUUAGUGAUAGCUCCAAUUCCAACCUAUAUGCUUGACUCCUUCAAUUCCUCAAGUUUUCCGUGGUUGAAUAGAAUUACUACAUCUUUGGAUAGUUAAAAUGUGGAAUUCUUUCGAUUACUGCUGCGCUCUCUGAUUUUAUCCAGGCG